rnacentral:rRNA from 1 species
UAGUUCGUGGAGUGAUUUGUCUGCUUAAUUGCGUUUCACAAGAGGUUAAAACACUUAGUUUGACAGUGUUGCACAAACGUCAAGUGCGUGUGCACUCAUUCUAGUGAAAUUCCUCGAAGGCAACGAACGUGACCGCAUCCCAUUGUUACCUCUCUGUUUGCUAAACACAACAACUGCAGUUUGAAUUUCCCCGCUUAGCGGGUGUACUUUCUGCUGUUCAGGAGAGAGGGAAACUAUGGGGACUGCUGUACUUUAAAGACAGAGGAAGGAUGCGGCAAUAACAGGU